UCCUACGGGAGGCAGCAGUGGGGAAUAUUGGACAAUGGGCGAAAGCCUGAUCCAGCCAUGCCGCGUGUGUGAAGAAGGUCUUAGGAUUGUAAAGCACUUUAAGUUGGGAGGAAGGGCAGUAAGUUAAUACCUUGCUGUUUUGACGUUACCGACAGAAUAAGCACCGGCUAACUCUGUGCCAGCAGCCGCGGUAAU
rnacentral:rRNA from 1 species